UAGAGUUUGAUCCUGGCUCAGGAUGAACGCUAGCUACAGGCUUAACACAUGCAAGUCGAGGGGAAACGAUAGAGAAAGCUUGCUUUUUCUAGGCGUCGACCGGCGCACGGGUGAGUAACGCGUAUCCAACCUGCCCACCACUUGGGGAUAACCUUGCGAAAGUAAGACUAAUACCCAAUGAUAUCUCAAGAAGACAUCUGAAUGAGAUUAAAGAUUUAUCGGUGAUGGAUGGGGAUGCGUCUGAUUAGCUUGUUGGCGGGGUAACGGCCCACCAAGGCGACGAUCAGUAGGGGUUCUGAGAGGAAGGUCCCCCACAUUGGAACUGAGACACGGUCCAAACUCCUACGGGAGGCAGCAGUGAGGAAUAUUGGUCAAUGGGCGAGAGCCUGAACCAGCCAAGUAGCGUGCAGGAUGACGGCCCUAUGGGUUGUAAACUGCUUUUAUAAGGGAAUAAAGUGAGCCUCGUGAGGCUUUUUGCAUGUACCUUAUGAAUAAGGACCGGCUAAUUCCGUGCCAGCAGCCGCGGUAAUACGGAAGGUCCGGGCGUUAUCCGGAUUUAUUGGGUUUAAAGGGAGCGUAGGCCGGAGAUUAAGCGUGUUGUGAAAUGUAGACGCUCAACGUCUGCACUGCAGCGCGAACUGGUUUCCUUGAGUACGCACAAAGUGGGCGGAAUUCGUGGUGUAGCGGUGAAAUGCUUAGAUAUCACGAAGAACUCCGAUUGCGAAGGCAGCUCACUGGAGCGCAACUGACGCUGAAGCUCGAAAGUGCGGGUAUCGAACAGGAUUAGAUACCCUGGUAGUCCGCACGGUAAACGAUGGAUGCCCGCUGUUGGUCUGAAUAGGUCAGCGGCCAAGCGAAAGCAUUAAGCAUCCCACCUGGGGAGUACGCCGGCAACGGUGAAACUCAAAGGAAUUGACGG
rnacentral:rRNA from 1 species